rnacentral:rRNA from 1 species
GAUGAACGCUGGCGGCGUGCCUAAUACAUGCAAGUCGAGCGAACAGAUGAGGAGCUUGCUCCUCUGACGUUAGCGGCGGACGGGUGAGAAACACGUGGAUAACCUACCUAUAAGACUGGGAUAACUUCGGGAAACCGGAGCUUAUACCGGAUAAUAUAUUGAACCGCAUGGUUCAAUAGUGAAAUACGGCUUUGCUGUCACUUAUAGAUGGAUCUGCGCCGCAUUAGCUAGUUGGUAAGGUAACGGCCUAUCAAGGCAACGAUGCGUAGCCGAACUGAGAGACUGAUCGGCCACACUGGAGCUGAGACACGGUCCAGACUCCUACGAGAGGCAGCAGUAGGGUAUCUUCCGCAAUAGGCGAAAGCAUGGCAGAGCAACGCCACGUGAGUGAUGAAAGUCUUCGGAUCGUAAAACUCUGUUAUUAGGGAAGAACAAAUGUGUAAGUAACUAUGCACGUCUUGACGGUACCUAAUCAGAAAGCCACGGCUAACUACGUG